GUGCUGGUUUCAUAGAAUAAAAGAGAAUGCCGACUAGCUUUACGAGUGACACAGUGACACUAAGGUGGCGUUUGAUAACUGUGUAACAGGACAUCUCCCUCUUCGUCGAGCCUCCCUUCCCUCCGUUCUCUCUCUCUCACCCCCUGCGAGCCAGAGCACUAACCUCUCAAUCAGUGAAAUUACCAGCACCACUUCCAGCUUUCAUCUUGCCAAUUUUCACCUGCAUCCCACAAUCCAGAAAAGUCAGCGGCAGGGGUGAUUCCCAAGGAGACUGUAGUGAAAGUUAUCAAACACCACCUAAGCAUUCAUAGAGCGUUUAGAGAGUACAAGGAUCACAGAUCGUAACAGCAAAGAGAGAGAGAGAUCCCAACAUGGCCACCGGCAUGCCAUGGAAACUAGCGAGAACGCUAACUCCAUUCUCACACUCUCUCUCCUCUCUCUACUUCCAAAGAGCAACAGUAAGCGGAACAGCAAAGGGCAAAGUUAAGGCCAAACCAGGCCAACCCCUCAAACGCGCCAAAAUCCCUAAGAAAACGACCUCCAAACCCCAAUCCCAAACCAAAGGAAGAGGAGGUGAAGCAGCUGAGAGAAUCAACAAAAUGGUGGAUUCAUGCCUUGAUGCCCCAACCCCAAUUCGGUUUCUCUCUCCUAAGGAGAGGCAAAGAGAGGCAGAGAGAGAAAAACUGGGGCUUAUAAGCAAGGAGAGACAGAGAGAGAUAGAAAUGGCAAAACAAAGGAGAAAGGAAAUGAAAGCAGAGAUGACCAUGGCUUUGGGGACUCCUGGUUUGGACCUCAUAUCUCUAGGGCUUGUUGAUGAGAAGGAUAUACUAAAGUAUGAGCUCACUGUUGAAGAUGGGAUAAGAUUGGCCAAAGAGUACAGUAGGCUUUUGAUGAGGAGGCAUAGGGCGAGGCAAGCGGCUGAGAGUACAUUGCUUAGGUUGAAGAAGGAAGCAAUUGAAGCUUUGCCCGAGCAUUUGAGAGAGGCAGCUCUGGUUCCUGAUCUUACCCCUUUUCCAGCGAAUAGGUUCAUGGCUACCCUCACUCCACCAAUUGAGGGUUACAUUGAGAAGGUGAAGGAGGCGGCAAAGAAGCUUAUGGGGAAGGAGAAGCUCAGGUGAUAAAGGAAUCAGGCUUGAGCUUCAUGUUAGUUGUUGACAAUUGCAACUCUAUGCAACAAGUUUGAUACCUACUGCUGAACCAACCAAAAACAUGUUGAUACGUGGAUGUGGGAAGCGUCAUUUGCUAAACAAUUUUGACCAGGCAGCUUGAUACAAUGAGAAGUCAUUGUAGAGGAUAUAUUAGCAUUGCAAUUUCUGAUAUUUAUCGGCAUGGAAAAUCUUCUGUGCAAGGACAAGGUUGAUACAGAAGUAGCGGCAUGGUUUCCGACUAUGUUUCAUGAACUGUCGAUUCUCUAAAUGGCUUCUGACUAUACUUUCAUGGACUCUUCGAUUUCACUUGAUUCAACUUGUGUACAAGUCAUUGUUUGUCUUCAAUAAGAGUACAAUACAUCAAGAAGUCCCAUUCUGGUCUUUUGUUUUGUUUUCAUGUCUUUGCAUCUAUAGUUUUAUUUAUUUGUUUAUUUAUGUGCAGUGACAUGCUGCACAUCCCUGUGAUUCUCUUUAACAAUUGUAUGCUUUUCUUUGUGCAUUUCUAGUAAACCAGCUUGUUAGAAUUCAGUAGCUUUCAGCAUCUUCACUCCAGGGGUAAUGGGGCAUGACAGCUGAAACACCAACAUUCAAGGUUCAUCCUCCAGCUUAGUCAUCCAAAGGGGUCAAAAAGUGGGGAACUGCCGAAAUUUUACGUAUGAAGUGUCGAAAAACACUACCCUUUCGAAGCCCUGCCCAACUCACACAACAUUGAGCCCCCACCGUUGCCCUUCCUCCUCUUCCUCUUUCUUUGUUUAAAAUUCUCACCGAUUCUCUAACCCUUUUAUCACUUUCUAGGCCAGCUUUUCCUAGUCAUUUGUAUGAAUUGUGCUGCUUUUAGUAUGUUCUGCCGUGGUUUUAUGAUAAUGAUUCUGGUCA